AUAAAGUUGGCAGAAUAAUAUGUAAAUAAUUUAGGAUUAUUAGAUAAGGAUUAAAAUAAUAUACCUUACUUUAUA
rnacentral:tRNA from 1 species